rfam:Picea glauca, whole genome shotgun sequence.
GGGAGCCAUCGCAUCGAUGGAUCGUGCGCUUUUAAUGGCCCCUCUCCCAUCGGAACUCUGCAGGUAAGCGCACUUGGGCUAGAGUAGUAUUGGGAUGGAUGACCUCCCGGGAUGUUCUAGUGUUGUACCCU